rnacentral:rRNA from 1 species
UGAGGAAUAUUGGUCAAUGGGCGAGAGCCUGAACCAGCCAAGUAGCGUGCAGGAUGACGGCCCUAUGGGUUGUAAACUGCUUUUAUAUGGGAAUAAAGUGAGGGACGUGUCCCUUAUUGCAUGUACCAUACGAAUAAGGACCGGCUAAUUCCGUGCCAGCAGCCGCGGUAAUACGGAAGGUCCAGGCGUUAUCCGGAUUUAUUGGGUUUAAAGGGAGCGUAGGCUGUUUGUUAAGCGUGUUGUGAAAUGUAAGAGCUCAACUUUUAGAGUGCAGCGCGAACUGGCAGAUUUGAGUGCGCACAACGUAGGCGGAAUUCAUGGUGUAGCGGUGAAAUGCUUAGAUAUAAUGACGAACUCCGAUUGCGAAGGCAGCUUACGGGAGCGCAACUGACGCUAAAGCUCGAAGGUGCGGGUAUCGAACAGG